UGGGGGAAUAUUGCACAAUGGGCGAAAGCCUGAUGCAGCAACGCCGCGUGAGUGAUGAAGGUCUUCGGAUUGUAAAGCUCUGUCUUUUGGGACGAUAAUGACGGUACCAAAGGAGGAAGCCACGGCUAACUACGUGCCAGCAGCCGCGGUAAUACGUAGGUGGCGAGCGUUGUCCGGAUUUACUGGGCGUAAAGGGUGCGUAGGCGGAUGUUUAAGUGAGAUGUGAAAUACCCGGGCUUAACUUGGGUGCUGCAUUUCAAACUGGAUAUCUAGAGUGCAGGAGAGGAGAAUGGAAUUCCUAGUGUAGCGGUGAAAUGCGUAGAGAUUAGGAAGAACACCAGUGGCGAAGGCGAUUCUCUGGACUGUAACUGACGCUGAGGCACGAAAGCGUGGGUAGCAAACAGGAUUAGAUACCCUGGUAGUCCACGCCGUAAACGAUGAGUACUAGGUGUAGGAGGUAUCGACCCCUUCUGUGCCGCAGUAAACACAUUAAGUACUCCGCCUGGGAAGUACGAUCGC
rnacentral:rRNA from 1 species